AAGUCGUAACAAGGUUUCCGUAGGUGAACCUGCGGAAGGAUCAUUAUCGAGUUAGGGUCUUCCAAGGCCCGAACCUCCAACCCUUGUGUUAAACUAUACCACGUUGCUUCGGCGGGCCCGCCUUUACUGGCCGCCGGGCUGUCUUCUGACGGUCUGGUCCGUUGCCCGUCGAUAGCCCAACUUCAAACUCUUGUUAAAACUGUGUCGUCUGAGUUAACAAAUAAAUUAAAACAAAACUUUCAACAACGGAUCUCUUGGUUCUGGCAUCGAUGAAGAACGCAGCGAAAUGCGAUAAGUAAUGCGAAUUGCAGAAUUUCAGUGAGUCAUCGAAUCUUUGAACGCACAUUGCGCCCUUUGGUAUUCCGAAGGGCAUGCCUGUUCGAGCGUCAUUAUCACCCCUCAAGCCUGGCUUGGUGUUGGACGUCCGGUCGUGUUUGGUCACGACCCGUCCCAAAGACAAUGACGGCGUCCAGAGGACCCUCGGUACAUUGAGCUUUAACCAGCACGUACUCGAGUUAAGGGACUCUGGGCCCGGUCACACCUAUUAUUUUUACAAGGUUGACCUCGGAUCAGGUAGGAAUACCCGCUGAACUUAA
rnacentral:rRNA from 1 species